CAAAAUAUCGGACCUUUGCUGCCUAGGAAGACCUUGAUUAUAGUUGUUACCUUUGAACUUUGAGACUCGUCAAUCAUUGAGACGCAAAGGGUUUGGACAGAAAACACUGCUAAUUUGAAAUGUAUAGGGUGAAGGGAAAGUUGUCUCUCUGCUUUGUGUUUCACAGGUGGCAGACCAUUAUGACCCGAGUCAGUCUGCGAGAGGUGUGUUUUUUUUCUUAUUGCUUUCAUGACUGUUGCAACAAUGUAUUUGGAUAUGGUGGUAUCUCUUGUGAACAUUUUAACCCAUCAGGUACAUAGAAGACGGCUUCAAGACACAAAGCUUCUCAGUCGUAAGACUUUUUGAUUAUGUAUGUUCUACAAUAAAGCCUGUGUGAUCUAGGAUUAACGUAGGAAGACGUUUAGAAGUUGUGUAUGUGGAAGGAAAGGCCUGUGUGUCUAUUGCUUUACUCGACAGAUGUCGCAGCCUUGUCUUGUGGAAAAGUGAAUCUUGGGCAACAGGGUUGUCAGCAGGUGUAAGGUAAGCAAAAUGAUCUUGCUUGAAUAGUUUCAGGAUCCACACAGAUUGAGAGGAGCAGCAAAGAAAGUGAAGAAAAAAGUUUGUACCAUCUUAUGUAGGAAGACAAUUGGAAGUUGUGUUUGCAGAAGGAAAGGCCUGUGUGUCUAUUGCUUUACUCGACAGAUGUCGCAGCCUUGUCUUGUGGAAAAGUGAAUCUUGGGCAACAGGGUUUUCAGAAGGUGUAAGGUAAGCAAAAUGACCUCGCUUGAAUAGUUUCAGGAUCCACAUAGAUUGAGAGGAGCAGCAAAGAAAGUGAAGAAAAAAGUUUGUACCAUCUUAUGUAGAAGACAUUUGAAAGUUGUGUUCGCGGAAGGAAAGGCCUGUGUGUCUAUUGCUUUACUCGACAGAUGUCGCAGCCUUGUCUUGUGGAAAAGUGAAUCUUGGGCAACAGGGUUUUCAGAAGGUGUAAGGUAAGCAAAAUGACCUCGCUUGAAUGGUUUCAGGAUCCACAAAGAUUGAGAGGAGCGGCAAAGAAAGUGAAGAAGAAAGUGUGUACCAUCUUAUGUAGGAAGACAUCUGGAAGUUGUGUUUGCGGAAGGAAAGAAAGGCCUGUGUGUCUAUUGCUUUACUCGACAGAUGUCGCAGCCUUGUCUUGUGGAAAAGUGAAUCUUGGGCAACAGGGAUUUCAGCAGGUGUAAGGUAAGCAAAAUGAUCUUGCUUGAAUAGUUUCAGGAUCCACACAGAUUGAGAGGAGUAGCAAAGAAA